rnacentral:rRNA from 1 species
GAUGAACGCUGGCGGCGUGCCUAAUACAUGCAAGUCGAGCGAACAGACGAGGAGCUUGCUCCGCUGACGUUAGCGGCGGACGGGUGAGUAACACGUGGAUAACCUACCUAUAAGACUGGGAUAACUUCGGGAAACCGGAGCUAAUACCGGAUAAUAUAUUGAACCGCAGGGUUCAAUAGUGAAAGACGGUUUUGCUGUCACUUAUACAUGGAUCCGCGCCGCAUUAGCUAGUUGGUAAGGUAACGGCUUACCAAGGCUACGAUGCGUAGCUGACCUGAGAGGGUGAUCAGCCACACUGGAACUGAGACACGGUCCAGACUCCUACGGGAGGCAGCAGUAGGGAAUCUUCCGCAAUGGGCGAAAGCCUGACGGAGCAACGCCGCGUGAGUGAUGAAGGUCUUCGGAUCGUAAAACACUGUUAGUAGGGAAGAACAAAUGUGUGAGAAACUAUGCACGUCUUGACGGUACCUAAUCAGAAAGCCACGGCUAACUACGUG